rnacentral:lncRNA from 1 species
AUUCAUACAGAGAAGCGAUCACAUUAAGAUCCAGCACUUGUUUCUACAUUUCCAAGCCGGAUUCUGCCGUCCUCCUCCUUCUAAGACGGGCGGUGCAGCGUCACAAGCGUCGGGACAGAUCUAUCCGGCUCGGAACAGACUUCGCGCUCUACCCGGCCAGGCCCAGCUCUCACCCGGGGACCCGUGUCGGGCUCCGCAGCUGGGACAUGGCGCCCCCCGGCGGGCGGCGAGGGGCUCGGCCGGACGAAGCCCAGACACCCGCAAACUCCCGACUCCACAGGUAGCGGCGCCGACGCCAGGGCCUCCGCGCUCUGCUCUCCCAGGCCCCGUGCCCCCGGCCCACCCGGCCGCCCUUACCAUGUUCUCGGCGCCGACUCCGCCUCCGCUCGGCCGCGCGCCCUCCCGCUGCCGACCCGCGCCGCCGCCGCCGCUCUCGCAGCACCGACCGCCGCCGCCGGAGCCGGACAAUACCCCGUGCCCGCCUCGCGCUGCUGUGGCCAAUGCCCGCUUGUCUUGCUGGUUCGAACCCCAGCGGCUGUUCAAUCGCGCGCCUCCUUCUAGCCAGACCCCGCCCCCCCGGCACCGCCUUCCUAACGGCUGUUUGUUUUUGCACACGGCACGCGGAGGCGGGGCCUCCAGCCCCAAUAGUGACGCGCUCUCUGCCUUUCACCAGGCGCCCAAGCCUGACGAACAGAAAGGCAAACCAAUGAGAUUGGACGCCUCGCAGACGAAAGCCAAUAAAAAUAUCGCCCGCGAGCAAGGGAGGCGGGCCACUGGGAAGGACAGCAAAAUUAGCUAAUAAGGUGAAGCGAUUGCAGGCGCUGUGGCUUUCCCGCCCAUUCGCGGCGUUGGUUUUCCCGCUUCUGAGACUUGUUUGGGGAGGUAAAGAGUGUUGGACGUGCUUCUCCUGGUGGGUUUUCACAGACUGUGAGGAUUUAUUCGUCUUAGAACGUGUGGAUCAGGAGGGCGCUGGGUUUCAAGGUUAGGCAGGCCUCAUGCUCAGCCGUAUUCUGGCGGACUGACUACCCUGACGUCCUCUCAGCGCGGACCCUGACAAGGUCCGCGGCAGGCUGAGGCGGGAGAAUCGCUUGAACCCCGGAGGCGGAGGUUGCAGUGAGCCGAGAUCGCGCCACUGCACUCCAGCUGGGCGACGCAUCGUCUCAAAACAAACAAACAAAAACAAAAGCUAUCAAUUGGCUACAUAUUGUUAUUUGUAUGACAAAUUCUUUUUCCUUUUUUAGAGAUGGAGUCCUGGGACUACAGGCGCGCGCCCCAAUGCCCAGCUAACUUUUGUAUUUUUAAUAGAGACGGGGUUUCUCCGUGUUGGUCAGGCUGGUCUCGAACUCCUGACCUCAGGUGAUCUGCCCCCCUUUGCCUCCCAAAGUACUGGGAUUACAGGCGUGAGCCACCGCGCCCGGCAUGUAUUACAAAUUCUAAGAACACGAAGAUAAUGGGGCCGGCUUGGUGGCGCGAACCUGUAGCCUCACCUACUGUCAAGACUGAGACAGGAGGAUCUCUUGAGCCCAGGAGGUCGAGGCUGCAGUGAGUCAUGAUCGCACCACUGCACUCCAGCUUGGGAGACAGAAUAUACCCUGUCUAAAAAAUAAUAAUAAAAAAAAAGGUAAUGGAUGAGGCCGAUAGUCAGGAAUGAAAUGACUUUAAACAAUUGGGUAUGCAUGGGAUUGGGUAUGUGUGUAUGUGGGGGCAGAGGGUGGGCAUAACCGAAGUCCCAUACUCAUGUCCCUCUAGGCCUAAUACAUUUUGCAGACCUCACAGAGCUCAGACUGUUGUGAGCCGUUUUUCUUUUCUCAACCUCUUCAGUGUGUUUAUUUUGCUUACAUCAUUAGGUUAAAAUUUGGAGGAUAACUCCCAGCUAGAAAGGAAGAAAAGCUCUAAAGUGGAAUCGCCUUCCCCCGGAAGCUGUUGUAAAAAUUAAAGGAUGUAUGUGAGUGCACAGGCUCUCCAGCGAUCGUUUUUCUUCCACAGUGUUAACACAAUUUAUUUAUUUAUUUACUUUUUGAGAUGAAGUCUCACUCUGUUGCCCAGGCUGGAUGGAGUGCAGUGGUGUGAUCUGGGCUCACUGCAACCUCCGCCUCCUGAGUUCAAGCGAUUCUCCUGCCUCAGCCUCCUGGGUAGCUGGGACUAAAGGCUCCCACCACCAUUCCCCGCUAGUUUUUGUAUUUUUAGUAGAAAUAGGGUUUCACCAUGUUGGCCAGGCUGGUCUUGAACUCCUGACCUCAAGUGAUCCUCUCGCCUCAGCCUCCUAAAGUGCUGGGAUUACAGGCGUGAGCCACCGCGCCUGGCCUGUUUCCACAAUUAAAAAAGGCCCAUCACCCUAUCAUGAUCAUCUCUAUUACAGUCUGGACAAUAUGAGCUUUCUGGGAGAGCCAGCUUCAUUUCAUAACUGAAGAAAUGGGCUUAGGUGAACUUAGUCAUUUGCCUGAGACCGCAUAGCCUGUAGAUAACCAAGAUACCAGCUCACAUUUGUUCCAACUCAUUCCAGCUUUAAAUUCUUUCAUUCUUUUCACAGUAUGAUGCAUUGACUGUGCUAGAAUGUGUUCUUGGUGUUGGUGAGUUAAUAGUGAAAAAAACAAGUUUCUGCCUUAGUGGAGAUUCUGUUGUCAUAGGAUUUUCCCAGGCUGGCACUUUAGAAAUUUAUAUCCAGGCUGAUGAUAGCUGUUCCAAAGUUUGAAUCAGGAGAAGCAACUUUGGGGAAGUGAGUCUUUAAAAAAAGGUAACUUAAAUUCAAGAAGAGGAAGAGGGUGAGCUUCUAAGUAAGAAUUUGGAAAAAUACGGAUGAAGGUACAGACAAGUGUGAGGAAGGGUGUCCAGUGAAAUAGGAAGGAAUGGAGCAAUGUGCCCAGAUUAAUAGAAGCCUCAAAACUAGGUAGAAGAGUGGAGUUACUUCAGUAAAAAUAGCCAUUGUUAAUUCCUGCUCCUCUGUGUUUCUGGCCUCAGUGGAUGGCAUUACCAAUCUACCAAGGCAUAAGCCUGUGAGUUAUUCCUUUAACAAAUCACUCAGUGCCUACUGUUUGCAGGCACUGUGCUAGGUACUGAGGAUUUGGUGAUUAGCAAAAUAGACAUUGUCCUUGCCCUUGUGGUCCUCUGCAGCGGGAGUCAGAUGUUAAAGAAAUAAACAAAUACCAUAUGUGAAUUAUAAUAAGUUCAAGUGUGCUGAAGGAAAAGAACAGGGUGCUUUAAGAGAGAAACAGGGAAUGUAGUUUAGCUGGUGUGGGUGGUCCACAAAGAGCAUGCAGGCUGGGCGUGGUGGCUCACUCCUGUAAUCCCAGCAAUUUGGGAGGCCAAGGUGGGUGGAUCAUCUGAGGUCAGGAGUUCGAGACCAGCCUGGCCAACAUGGCAAAACCCUGUCUCUACUAAAAAUGCAAAAAUUAGCCAGGCGUGGUGGCGCAUGCCUGUUAUUCCCAGCUACUCAGGAGGCUGACGCAGGAAAAUCACCUGGGCCCAGGAGAGCCUGGGAAGCGGAGGCUGCAGUGAGCUAAGAUUGCGCCACUGCACUUCAGCCUGGGCGACAGAGCAAGACUCCACUCCAUCUCAAAAAAAAAAAAAAAAAGAAGAGUUGCCCUUGUGAAGGGGGGCUGAAAGAAGUGUCCAAUAAUGUAUGAGAAAGCACCUAGCACUGUACCUAGCACAUAAUAUCCAAUAAAUGUUAACUUCCUUCCUUAACAGGAAAAUCAUUUUCUCACCACUCUCUACCCCUCAGCCUUCAUGUCAUUGAUUCAGAUUUUGAUGAAAGUGGAGUUAGGUUGAAAAAGACUGGUUCUCAUUGUAGAUAAUAGUAAUCCUUUCACUGAUUUAUAUAUCAUCACUAAAUUAUAUCAUCACUGUAAACACAGAUGCCAGAAAAAAGUCUGCCUACUAACAGUUUUAUAAACCAAGUGUGUUAGUAAAAUUUAGUUUCUAGUGAACUAGGGUAACAAAAAAGGCAAAGAUGAGCUCAUGAAGAACACCAGUCUAACCAGAAAAUGUUAUGUAUUAGCAUCUAUAAAUGAUAAACUACAAACAUUGACAAAUUAUUCAACUUUGGGCUGGGGAUGGUAGCUCAUGCCUGUAAUCCUAAAGCUUUGGGAGGCCAAGGCAUGAGUCACCAGGGCAGGAGUUUGAGACCAGCCUGGGCAACAUGGCAAGACUCCACUUCUACAAAAAUUAAAAGAAAAAAAUUAGCUGAGUGUGUGGCACAUGCCUGUGAUCCCAGCUAGUUGAGAGGCUGAGGUGGGUAGAGAACUUGAGCCCACGAGUUCAAGGCUGCAGUGAGCUAUGUAUGAUUGUGUCACUGCUCACCAGACAGGCAACAGAACCAGACUGUAUCUCUAAAAAAAAAAUUAUUCAAUGUUGCUGGAUUUAACCCAGUAAUAUAUAGUAUAAUUGUUCUCAAAGUGUGAUCCUUAGACCACCAGCAUCAGCAUCACUUGGAACUUGUUAGAAAUGUAUUCUCACCACCACCCCAGACCUGCUGAAUCUGACACUGAGGGUGGGACCUACAAGCGCUCCAGGGGAUUCUGGUGCAUACUGAAAUUUAAGAACCACUGGUAUAGUAUAUGCUGCAGUGCACAGUCCAGAGCCCACGUAUUCCUUAUAAAACUGGAGCACUUGGCCAGGUGUGGUAGCUCAUCCCUGUAAUCUCAGAACUUUGGGAGGCUGAGGUGGGCAGAUCACCUGAGGUCAGGAGUUCCAGACCAGCUUGGCCAACAUGGUGAAACCCCAUCUCUACUAAAACAAAAAUUAGCUGGGUGUAGUGGCAUGCGCUUGUAGUCCCAGCUACUCUGGGAGGCUGAGGCAGGAGAAUCACUUGAACCCAGGAGGUGGAAGUUGCAAUGAGCCGAGAUGACGCCACUGCACUCCAGCCUGGGCAACAGAGCAAGACUCUGUCUCAAAAAAACAAAAACAAAAAAACUGGAGCACUUAUUUAGCUCCUGGAAGUGUUGACUGAUCAUUACUCAGGGAUCUCUACCCAGGAAUUGGACUUGGCCAAAGGAAGCUGUAUCGCCCAAGUUUACACUCCUUUUUAGGGGGCCUACCUCCAGUGACUGGUGGAUGUAGGAUAUAGUGCCUAGCUCUUUUGCCUUAAUUUGAGACAAUUCUGAAGGGCCAUUCCAGCUCCAGAGUUUCUUGUGUGAUUAGUUUUGACUUGAUCUAACUGCAUUGAAGUUCAACUUCUGCGUAAUCCUACUUCCUCUAUUUUCUCCUAGUAAUGUCCCCAAGAGCAUUCCAUACUAUUACCUCUUGAAAGCAAAUCCCAUUUGUUUCCUGGGAAACCUGAACUAAGACAAUGACUUUUCUCUGCAAAAAUGUAGUCAAUUUUUGAGUAGGCAAGAUAUUCACACGUACAAAAUUUCAAAAUGUACAAAGGGUAUACAGUGAAAAGACUCCCCUGGUGCAGUGGCUCAUGCCUGUAAUCUCAGCACUUUAGAGGUUAAGGCAGGAGGAUCGCUUGAGCCCAGGAGUUCGAGACCAGUGUGGGUGACAUAGUGAGACCCACAUCUCUGUGAAAAAUAAAAAAAAUAAGCCGGGCGCGGUGGCUCACGCCU